UUGUAGAACCAAUCUUCAAAAAUCAAAGCUUCUAUUGAAAAUUCAAUGUAAUUGGGGAAAAAACAAAACUAGGGUUCUUCACUAAUUGAGAGAAAAAGAGUUCUAAUCUUUUAUGAAUUAAUGAUGGAAAAAAACAAAAUAGAAAAUAAGAUAGGAAAUAAUAAUAUUCCCUUGAGUCUUUAUACCUUUCUAUUUCCUAAAACAACUAGAAAAAUAGAGUCUAAUUCGUCAAAAGAUAAAGCCUUAUUCGACUAGGAAACACGGAAUAACCCGCGGCCGCGGGUUUUCGACCUGCGAAACAGCGUCAACUUGUAAAGACCAUAUCUCGCAAACUAGAGCUCGUAUCGGGGCGUGUAAUAUACCGUUGGAAAGCGCUUCAAGUCUAGUUUCCAACCCCACUGGAAUCACUAAAUUCCGAUCUCUGAAUAAUGAGUUAGGAUCAAAAGAGUGCACAUGACUCAAUUUCCAUACUUCUUUUAACAUGUUUCCGCUAUAUUUGAGUUGCAAUCCGACUCGAAGAUGCCCUUUGGACUCCUCAUUUCACUUAGCUCCUUCCUAGAUACUUCUCAUGCUUAAGCUUGUCCAAUAAUACUCCAAUUGUGUCCUCAAUAACUGAAAACUAUCAAAAACACCGAAAACACACGCAAGAGUGAUAUCUUCUCAACUUAAGUAACUAUAUGCAAUUAUGGACUAAGAAUGCAACUAAAUGAUCCUAAAAUGCAACCUAAAUGCAUCAUGAAAUGCCUAUAUUAAUAUGACUCAUCAAUCUCCAAGUAGUACUAGUCGUGGAUUUGUACAUCAAUUGUAUGGAAAGUUCACAGCAAUAGGUUCUAUUAUUGGAGGUCAGAGAGAAUCAAAGACAACAAUUUGAUUCUAACUACAGAACUCUAGCCCAUGAGUCAGUCAGGGUCUUCAUAAAUAUCCUCCAAAGGAUAAGUGAGGAGAAUAGGGAAAUCAACCUAGGCAAAUUGAUCAAAUACUUGUAGAUAUCAAUGAUACUACGAGUGCAACUUUCACAGCAAUGUCUACUUCUCUCGCUACUGAAGUAGUUACUCGCUUAGAGCCACGAAAAAUACUAUCAGUUAAAUGAGAAGUUGGUUAAGACCUUAGAAGAAAUCCUACUAAAUAGAACACGAGGAAGUCGUGGCAUAGCACCAGAUCCUCCUCCAAUAGGUUACCCACCAAGGUUACAUUUCUCCCACCUUGAAACUAGAGAUACGUUGAUCUCAAGUGAUCCACCAACUUCCUCCCAUGAGUGAAAAACAACGGCAAUACCCUUGAGCCUUGGAGAGGGUAAUCAUGGAAGUCUUAGGAAAAGUGAUUGAAUGGCAACGGGCGUGGAGCCAAGCUGGCACCAGCCAUCUGGACAUCACCAACCUUCGUUUUUCAUGGGUGGUGGACAAGUUGGUGACAACACACACUAAUCUGGACCAUCACAAGGAGGACAGACGCAAGGUACUUUUGUUGCAAACAACAGUUCACCUCAUGCAUAUAUGCCUCUUAACCAACCAAAUAUGGCUCGGAUCCCUUCUACAUUCUUCGCUUAUAUGCCUAACCAACCACCUAUUGCUGGUAUGCCUCACUAUGGGAAUACUUCAUGCUAUGGUCAAACCCAAUCUCCAUUUUCCCAAGCAACUGGCUCUUACCAGUAGGGGAUGCCCCCAAAUGGGCAUACAUUCCCGCCACAGAUGGCACGAGGAGCAACUGCUCCUAAUUAUAUGCAUCACCAGGAUCUCCCUAUGGGAGGUUAUCAAAAUCAACCUUUCAUGCCUAACCCUAGUCCUAUGUAUGAUCAAACAAGAGGUAUAGGGAAUGGGAAUAUGGGAUACACAUGGAGAAAUCAGGACCCUUGGCGGCACAAGUUGAGGCACUGUUCCAAAGACUAAUAGGAGAUAACUCUAGGAAAGGCCAGAGGUAGAUAGGUCAAAAACCUUACCCUGAAUGGAUUGAUAAAGCGAAUCCAUUUCCUAAAACGUUUGAGAUACUUGACUUUAUAUUAUUCUCAGGCAAUGAUAGAGUUGCUGCCGAGGAACAUCUACUUAGGUUCAAUUGUCAGUGUAGGGAAGCAACUGACAAUGAUUUCUUAAAAUUGAGAAUGUUUUCUGUUUAUGCUAAAAUUUAUCACUUAUGAUGAAAUUAAAGUUUGUGGGACGUGUCAACCAGAUGAUGUCAAAGUUGUUGCGACAAAAGAAUGCAAAAGGGAGUCAAAGGGGAUGAACACACAAAAGUGGUGACGCGGAAAACCCCAAUGAAGGUGGGUAAAAAACCGCGGGUGGUUGGAGAUCCACCAAACUAAUAUAGUUCACUAUCUUUCUCUGUGACUGAUUGUCAUUUACAAGAAUGCUUAGUUCACUCUAAUAUCUUUCUCACAAUAUCGCGUAAAAAACAUGUCAUUAACCUCUCUCUCCCUUUUAUAUGCCUUCUUCUUUCUUUGGCUUUUUCCCCCCAACGAAUACAAAAAUAAAUUCACUAAUUAUUACAUUAAUCUCUACGCUUGAAUCAUGGAGAAUCUUCUAUGCUCACGCUCCAGCAUCUUAAUGUUGUCCCCUCUAACGGUUGAAUUUAUGGCUUAUAAUGCUCUUGCCUUAUUUGGCUGGACCGUUACCAUUCAAUGCACUGCUCUUAAUCUUGCAUCCUUCGUUGUGUCUUCGGUUUGCAUCUUCUGUGUCUUUACGUGAGAUGGUAUUACGUCAUCGAAUCAUCGCAUCGUCGCGUCAAUGUCAUCCUGUCAAAAAAUUCAGCCAUAACAGUUUGCCCCCAAUUGUUGAAUUGGGGUGGCACAAAGCCCAUGAGACAAUUGUUAAAAAACCAACGAAUCAAAUGAAAUUCUACUCAAGUCAUUAAGAUAUCACAAAUCGCAAGAAAUCUCGCCCUUGUCAAUUUAAAGAAAAAAGAUUUCCAAAGAGACGCAUGGAAGGAAAGGAGAUCUGCUUUGAGUGGUUAUUUUUGGUAGUCCAAGAGUCUCAAAAUACAAAAGGUAGUUUUAUUUUUAAAUAGCCGUUUUAAUUAUAAUCAUUAGCACGAUUGUCAUGAUUGCUCACUGUUGGCAUAAAUAACUUAAGCGGCUGAGAAAAUCAUAACUUUUACUCUCACUUCAUCAAAUCUUUCUCUCUUUAAGUAAGGCAACUUCCAUAACUUCCUUUACUCUCUCCUUCGGAAAAAAGAUCGCUGACACCAGGUAAUUUCGAUCUUUUUCGCUCAUUUUUUCCUUUGAUUCGCUCUAUUUUCUCUUCCUCUACCGUUCUCAUGGCUCCCAAUAGACGCAACAUUAUGACUUUUGUGAAAAACCAAGAGAAAUCGAAAGGGAAAGAAGAAGCUGUAGAACUAAGGGUAGAAAAUGAGGACGAACUGUCAACGAUGUCAGAAGAGGACCUUUUAAGGUUUUUAGACUUAGGAAAUUUGCCUGAGAGUACUGUCAUUAGAAAUGCUGAACCUGACGAACCCCAGAGUCGUGUCCCCAAAAAUGGGUAGUGCUCUAUGAAUACCCUUUCAAAUUAGGUCUUAGACUUCCUUUCACCCCCCUGGCAAGGGAUCUAAUGCAGAUCUACCAAAUCAGCCCAGGGCAGAUUAUGCCCCAAGUUUGGAGGAUCCUGAGCGUCAUUGAUAGGGUGACGGCGUCGUGGGAUGAAGCCUUCACCCUUCACGACUUGCUGUUACAUUAUGAAAUUAGGGUCAAAGCGAAAAAUAGGAUAGCCUUACAUGCAAAGGCGAGGUUAGAGCCUCUGGUCGGGGGGAUACAGUCAAAUGACAGAGGUUGGAAAAACAGGUUUGUUUUGUGAAGAGAUCGUCGCUAGGGGAAGCUGGGGCGUCUUUGGUUGGUGGCUGGAAUACCGAAGGUGUGUUUAUUUUCUGUUUUUCUAAAUUCGUGAUGUGUCGUUAACACCAUUCUUACAUCGUUUCUACUGCAGGUCUUAACUCAAAACUGCUGUCGCAUCGCGACGAGUCUCAGAGUCUCUGUGACAAGUUUCUGAAGGUGUCAGAGGAGGACAGGCAGUUCAGAAGGGUUCUUUUUGCUUCUCAAGACAGUUGUUCAUCUAUGGCUUCUGGUUCGUCUCAAUCGCGUCCUAGGGGGAGUCUGGAUGGGCAGGCACUGGCUGAGAUGUUGUGCAAGCUUAAGAGGGAGUCCUCUACUGACGCUGCGUCAGCGUCGUCUAAGAAGGAUACAGCGGUUGUCGUUCACUUGGACGACGAGCUGGACGUUGCGUCUAAUACGCACAAGACUGACUUCCUAGCCCCCCAGACAAAAGGGAUCCUUCCUAUUCUGUGACCGUUCCAAAUGACUUCAUGUCGUUGGAACGGUCCAUAUGGCCUGAAGCAAACAUGUUUCUUUUUCCUAGCGCAAUGGAAAGGAUCAAGGAACAUACUCUUCCUCGCAUGAUGUCGGAUGGGCUGGAACUCCUAUUUUAGUCUUCUCAACAUCUCCUGAUGGCUAAGAGGGAGAUCUCCUCUCUGCUGAAGGGUCAUCUGACCAUGAAGCAGAGAAUGGAGAAGGCUGAAUUGGACGCGAAGUCCAAAAGCGAUGAAGUGGAGUCUUGCAAGAAGGCCAUGGAGGACAUGAAAAAGACUUUGCAGAAGAAUGGGGAGGAGCUAGAAGAGAUAAGGUAGAGGGCGACUAAGUUGGAGGAGUCUUCUCGUCAUGAAAUCACGACGCUCCAAGCGAGCGUCGACGCACAGAAGAACGAGCUGGACAUGCUCGAGGCUGAGGUGAUGACUAGGGUCAGGGCUAAGCUAAUGUACCAGUUUUUAAUGAAGAAGACGGCGUCGUGGACGCCACAGAAGGACAUUGACCUAUACCUCCAGUUCAUGGGAUCCAUGAAGGAUCUGAUGGCGAAGAGGACUUGGCUGCGACGGCGGAUUCUUCAUCAAAAGUUGAUGAAAACGCCCCGUCUUGCGCUGGGUUCAUAGCGUCUGAUGUGCCCCCUGACCCCGGAACCGAGAAGGAGGCUCCGACUACUGUCCUCCCAGCUGAAGCGUCUGAGGAGAAGAGGUCCCUGCCGUUUAAUUUUUAGCCCUUUAUACCAUCCCCUCUUAUCUAAACAUUAAUCAAUCUUUUUGUUAAAGGUCACUUGAAAGAGUGACCAUUUGUACUGUACUUUUGGGUCACCCAUGGGGGUGGCUAUAACUGUUUAUCGUUUUAAACGGGGUGACCAUUACCUUGAUGCUUUGACCUUUGGCAAAAUUGUCCUUAUGUCUUUGUUUUAUAUUGCAUGCAUGUGUUUCGGUCGUUAUUCUGACGUUCCUAAAGGAUGGUCAGCGUUUAGUAAGCCAUCUUUGGUCGUGCAGACGUAGCGUUUGGACUUAAUAAAAGUCAUCACUGGUCGCUCAGACGUACCUUUUGGACUAAACGACUUUUAGAAUACACAUAGGAAAUACAUAAAACUUACAUGUAUUCGUCAGGGAGAUGGCUGAAAUGUCAUCAGGAGUUAUCACUUUAAAAUGACUGUGCCCCUGUCGUAACGUCAGUUGAGGCAAUAGUAGAUGAAAACACUUUUUAUGGUGGCAAGAUGCAAGUCUACCUGGUGCCUUGUGAAAAUCGUCGGGACGUUAAUAAGUUGAAUGGGAACAAUUUGCCUGCAACUCAACAAGUACCCAAUGAGAGAACACUAUGGUCGCUAACACCUAGCGACCCAGAUAUAAUGGCAUUAUCAACUAUUCUAUAUCUCUAUGUGUAUAUAUGUAUCUCUUUUUUUUU